ACAAGCGGUGGAGCAUGUGGUUAAUUCGAUGCAACGCGAAGAACCUUACCUGGUCUUGACAUCCCGGAGACCCUUAGGAAACUAGGGGUGCUUCCAUCUGGAAGAAUCUGGAGACAGGUGCUGCAUGGCUGUCGUCAGCUCGUGUCGUGAGAUGUUGGGUUAAGUCCCGCAACGAGCGCAACCCUUGCCUUUAGUUGCCAGCAGUUCGGCUGGGCACUCUAAAGGGACUGCCGGUGUUAAACCGGAGGAAGGUGGGGAUGACGUCAAGUCCUCAUGGCCUUUAUGACCAGGGCUACACACGUACUACAAUGGCCGAUACAAAGGGCAGCGACACUGCGAGGUGAAGCCAAUCCCGUAAAAUCGGUCUCAGUCCGGAUUGGAGUCUGCAACUCGACUCCAUGAAGUUGGAAUCGCUAGUAAUCGUGGAUCAGCAUGCCACGGUGAAUACGUUCCCGGGCCUU
rnacentral:rRNA from 1 species